CUUGUAUGGGUGGCGUGCAAGGUCCCUAUACCAUUCUAUUUAUGAACCUAUUCAUGAACCAGUAUUCUAUUUAUGAACCAGUCUAUUUAUGAACCUUGGGUGGCGUGUAACAAAAUUAAGUCAAAUUUAGAGGUUAGGUCUCGUUUUGGUUGAAAUGUGUGAAUUUCGAAGUAUGGAUCACCAAACUUUUUCAGAAGUCUUUAGAAGGAAUCAAUACAGUGGAAUUUCUGCAUAAAAUCAUCGUUUCACACGCCACCCAUGGGAAAACUUAAAACCACCUCAAACCACGGAGAGGCCAAUUUCCAACCAUUAGUCAGUUUGGGGGAACAAGCUUUUUGGGGGCAUUCCGGCUCCUUUUCGUCUUCGCACCUGGGUCUACAGGAGGCAUGGCUUUUGCACCAUCCUGGUGCUCAUUUCCGGGAAUGCAGCAGCAACGUCUUUAGGAGUCGUUCGGGUUUGUUUGGGAACAAUCAGUGUGCUGAUAUGAGUAACUAUUGUGGUUUAUAUUGCAGACAUUUGGUUGAUGUAUUAUGUUAAUAAUUUUUUUUCAGAUUUAGUUUGCAUUUAUUUGUUUUUUAUAUACAUAAAAUUUAAGUACGUUCCCAAACUCAUGUAUAAACCUGCGGUUUCCUAUGUUGAGCUCGGCAUAUUUGCCAAAAAGGUAUUAGGUUUUUAUAUUUUAUUGGUAAUUUAGUCGAUUUCAUGUCAUUUUGUAAAUUUAGGUUGUAUUAUUUGCUUGUUUCCUAAGUAUUUCGUCGUUACUUUAUUUCAUUGCAUUUGCUCGGUUAAUUUAAGUCGUUGUAUAUUUACCUAACUUCAUUUCUUUAGCGUUCAUUCAUUAACUUUGAUUAAUUCGUUGUAGAAUUUUCUCGUAGUCAGACCAAGUCAGACUCAUGCCUAUUUAUUUAUAUUAUUUUCAUCUUUGUCGGUUUCAAUUUAGUGGUACGUAGCAAGCGUACUAUAACCAUUUGGUAGAAAUCUCAUGUGAGUUAUACCCUAUGUAUAAGUAAGAGUUAUAUCUUUUUGUACAUACAUAUAACAGGACUGUUGUUAUAUGAUAUAUCACGUUUAACGGUAACUUUUGUCAUGUUAGAGUCACAUUUUAUGCAUUGUUUAACUCAGAGAUUGUCAAAAAUCUAGUAGUUAUUUUUUAAUAAAUGUUUAUUUAUUUUGAA